AGGUGGACCGGGACGGGUGAACGUAACGCGUGGGUAACCUGCCCUAUACAGGGGGAUAACAGUUAGAAAUGACUGCUAAUACCGCAUAAGCGCACUAAAACCGCAUGGUUCGGUGUGAAAAACUGAGGUGGUAUAGGAUGGACCCGCGUCUGAUUAGCUUGUUGGUGAGGUAACGGCUCACCAAGGCAACGAUCAGUAGCCGGACUGAGAGGUUGGCCGGCCACAUUGGGACUGAGAUACGGCCCAGACUCCUACGGAAGGCAGCAG
rnacentral:rRNA from 1 species